UACGUAGGGUCCGAGCGUUGUCCGGAAUUACUGGGCGUAAAGAGCGUGUAGGCGGCCAAGCAGGUCAGCUGUGAAAACUCGAGGCUCAACCUCGAGACGUCGGUUGAAACCGCUUGGCUAGAGUCCGGAAGAGGAGAGUGGAAUUCCCGGUGUAGCGGUGAAAUGCGCAGAUAUCGGGAAGAACACCCGUGGCGAAGGCGGCUCUCUGGGACGGUACUGACGCUGAGACGCGAAAGCGUGGGGAGCGAACAGG
rnacentral:rRNA from 1 species